UACGGGGGGUGCAAGCGUUGUCCGGAAUCAUUGGGCGUAAAGCGUUCGUAGGCGGCAAGGUAAGUCAGAUGUUAAAGCCCGGGGCUCAACUCCGGUUCGGCAUUUGAUACUAUCUAGCUGGAAUGCGGUAGAGGUAAAGGGAAUUCCUGGUGUAGCGGUGAAAUGCGUAGAUAUCAGGAGGAACAUCGGUGGCGAAAGCGCUUUACUGGGCCGUUAUUGACGCUGAGGAACGAAAGCCGGGGGAG
rnacentral:rRNA from 1 species